rnacentral:rRNA from 1 species
AUUGAACGCUGGCGGCAGGCCUAACACAUGCAAGUCGAGCGGUAGCACAGAGAGCUUGCUCUCGGGUGACGAGCGGCGGACGGGUGAGUAAUGUCUGGGAAACUGCCUGCUGGAGGGGGAUAACUACUGGAAACGGUAGCUAAUACCGCAUAAUGUCGCAAGACCAAAGUGGGGGACCUUCGGGCCUCAUGCCAUCAGAUGUGCCCAGAUGGGAUUAGCUAGUAGGUUGGGUAACGGCUCACCUAGGCGACGAUCCCUAGCUGGUCUGAGAGGAUGACCAGCCACACUGGAACUGAGACAUGGUCCAGACUCCUACGGGAGGCAGCAGUGGGGAAUAUUGCACAAUGGGCGCAAGCCUGAUGCAGCCAUGCCGCGUGUAUGAAGAAGGCCUUCGGGUUGUAAAGUACUUUCAGCGGGGAGGAAGGCGACAAGGUUAAUAACCUUGUCGAUUGACGUUACCCGCAGAAGAAGCACCGGCUAACUCCGUGCCAGCCGCCGCAGUAAGAC